rnacentral:rRNA from 1 species
AAAUUGAAGAGUUUGAUCAUGGCUCAGAUUGAACGCUGGCGGCAGGCCUAACACAUGCAAGUCGAGCGGUAGCACAGAGAGCUUGCUCUCGGGUGACGAGCGGCGGACGGGUGAGUAAUGUCUGGGAAACUGCCUGAUGGAGGGGGAUAACUACUGGAAACGGUAGCUAAUACCGCAUAACGUCGCAAGACCAAAGUGGGGGACCUUCGGGCCUCAUGCCAUCAGAUGUGCCCAGAUGGGAUUAGCUAGUAGGUGGGGUAACGGCUCACCUAGGCGACGAUCCCUAGCUGGUCUGAGAGGAUGACCAGCCACACUGGAACUGAGACACGGUCCAGACUCCUACGGGAGGCAGCAGUGGGGAAUAUUGCACAAUGGGCGCAAGCCUGAUGCAGCCAUGCCGCGUGUGUGAAGAAGGCCUUCGGGUUGUAAAGCACUUUCAGCGGGGAGGAAGGCGAUAAGGUUAAUAACCUUGUCGAUUGACGUUACCCGCAGAAGAAGCACCGGCUAACUCCGUGCCAGCAGCCGCGGUAAUACGGAGGGUGCAAGCGUUAAUCGGAAUUACUGGGCGUAAAGCGCACGCAGGCGGUCUGUCAAGUCGGAUGUGAAAUCCCCGGGCUUAACCUGGGAACUGCAUUCGAAACUGGCAGGCUAGAGUCUUGUAGAGGGGGGUAGAAUUCCAGGUGUAGCGGUGAAAUGCGUAGAGAUCUGGAGGAAUACCGGUGGCGAAGGCGGCCCCCUGGACAAAGACUGACGCUCAGGUGCGAAAGCGUGGGGAGCAAACAGGAUUAGAUACCCUGGUAGUCCACGCCGUAAACGAUGUCGAUUUGGAGGUUGUGCCCUUGAGGCGUGGCUUCCGGAGCUAACGCGUUAAAUCGACCGCAUGGGGAGUACGGCCGCAAGGUUAAAACUCAAAUGAAUUGACGGGGGCCCGCACAAGCGGUGGAGCAUGUGGUUUAAUUCGAUGCAACGCGAAGAACCUUACCUGGUCUUGACAUCCACAGAACUUUCCAGAGAUGGAUUGGUGCCUUCGGGAACUGUGAGACAGGUGCUGCAUGGCUGUCGUCAGCUCGUGUUGUGAAAUGUUGGGUUAAGUCCCGCAACGAGCGCAACCCUUAUCCUUUGUUGCCAGCGGUUCGGCCGGGAACUCAAAGGAGACUGCCAGUGAUAAACUGGAGGAAGGUGGGGAUGACGUCAAGUCAUCAUGGCCCUUACGACCAGGGCUACACACGUGCUACAAUGGCAUAUACAAAGAGAAGCGACCUCGCGAGAGCAAGCGGACCUCAUAAAGUAUGUCGUAGUCCGGAUUGGAGUCUGCAACUCGACUCCAUGAAGUCGGAAUCGCUAGUAAUCGUAGAUCAGAAUGCUACGGUGAAUACGUUCCCGGGCCUUGUACACACCGCCCGUCACACCAUGGGAGUGGGUUGCAAAAGAAGUAGGUAGCUUAACCUUCGGGAGGGCGCUUACCACUUUGUGAUUCAUGACUGGGGUGAAGUCGUAACAAGGUAACCGUAGGGGAACCUGCGGUUGGAUCACCUCCUUACCUUAAAGAA